AUCCAGUUGACGAGUCCCAAAAAAUAGGACGAAGCUCACGUCCUGGAU
rnacentral:hammerhead_ribozyme from 1 species